GAGAAGAGCUUGCUCUUCGAUUCAGCGGCGGACGGGUGAGUAAUGCCUAGGAAUCUGCCUGGUAGUGGGGGACAACGUUUCGAAAGGAACGCUAAUACCGCAUACGUCCUACGGGAGAAAGCAGGGGACCUUCGGGCCUUGCGCUAUCAGAUGAGCCUAGGUCGGAUUAGCUAGUUGGUGGGGUAAUGGCUCACCAAGGCGACGAUCCGUAACUGGUCUGAGAGGAUGAUCAGUCACACUGGAACUGAGACACGGUCCAGACUCCUACGGGAGGCAGCAGUGGGGAAUAUUGGACAAUGGGCGAAAGCCUGAUCCAGCCAUGCCGCGUGUGUGAAGAAGGUCUUCGGAUUGUAAAGCACUUUAAGUUGGGAGGAAGGGCAUUAACCUAAUACGUUAGUGUUUUGACGUUACCGACAGAAUAAGCACCGGCUAACUCUGUGCCAGCAGCCGCGGUAAUACAGAGGGUGCAAGCGUUAAUCGGAAUUACUGGGCGUAAAGCGCGCGUAGGUGGUUUGUUAAGUUGGAUGUGAAAG
rnacentral:rRNA from 7 species